UGGAUCGGAGUCUUCAGAUUUCUUAGAGCAUUUUCUUCAUUGUUUGCUGCAAAUAUUCAUCAAACAUAUAAAUUGUAAUUAAAGAUUAAUGAAGAAAUAAAAAUAUAUUAAAAGUCGAUAUAACCAUUUCGAAAAAGUAAUUCACAUCAAAAUUUUUGUUCCAUAGUCAAGUUAAUAAAUAUACGGAUCUUCAUUGGAUUGAAAAAUUCAAAAUCGGUCCCAAAUUAUUAUAUUUUAAUUUGAUUAAUUUUUUUUACGAGACAUGAGAUUUAUCAAAAUCUUAAUAUCAUAUGAUUUUAUAUAGUAUAUAGAUUUAC
rnacentral:lncRNA from 1 species